CUUGACUGGUUCUCUCCCCCUGCCGUCAGAUGGCACUGUUCAGUUGUUACGUCAGAUGCAUACGCAGUGUAUGAAGAUGGACAGGUGACGUCACAAUUGAUCUGUAGACCAUCAGCGUGACUGGGCAGCAGACAGUUCCUGUCAGAUUGCAGCGGUCUGGACUUCACUUGCGCCAUGGAUGAAAUCUUCGCAGAGACAUCCAAAGAGACGGUGAAGGAGCUUUCCCUGCUGUCUUUAUCAGGGGCUUCCGCAGAUCCGGUGACUAAUGACGUAUCCCACAGUUCCUCUGCCUGUAGCAGCGACAUGGACUUCUUCGAUUCCUGGUACUACGACG